AUGAACGCUGGCGGCGUGCCUAAUACCUGCCAGUCGAGCGAACAGACGAGGAGCUUGCUCCUCUGACGUUAGCGGCGGACGGGUGAGUAACACGUGGAUAACCUACCUAUAAGACUGGGAUAACUUCGGGAAACCGGAGCUAAUACCGGAUAAUAUAUUGAACCGCAUGGUUCAAUAGUGAAAGACGGUUUUGCUGUCACUUAUAGAUGGAUCCGCGCCGCAUUAGCUAGUUGGUAAGGUAACGGCUUACCAAGGCAACGAUGCGUAGCCGACCUGAGAGGGUGAUCGGCCACACUGGAACUGAGACACGGUCCAGACUCCUACGGGAGGCAGCAGUAGGGAAUCUUCCGCAAUGGGCGAAAGCCUGACGGAGCAACGCCGCGUGAGUGAUGAAGGUCUUCGGAUCGUAAAACUCUGUGAUUAGGGAAGAACAAAUGUGUAAGUAACUAUGCACGUCUUGACGGUACCUAAUCAGAAAGCCACGGCUAACUACGUG
rnacentral:rRNA from 1 species